CGCUAAGUGCUGGCAGCUGGCAGUAGUAGUGCGUUGCAUAAGCGCAUGGGCAGACGUGUAUUUGAGACCUGUAGCUGUGGAGCAUCAACUCCAACGGAUCUCAUAUCUGGAACUUGUGACUUCAUUUUCGCAUGAUUUACUGCGUCUUUUUGCAAGGACUUGCAAGUGCAUGCAUAGGCUUUAUCGUUUGGUCUAGAUGCUACCCAAAAAACUACACCCGUACAGUUCGAUCAAUGUGAUCUAGACCAUAGCCAGCAAACCUACAUGGUCUGGUAAUUUGUUUAUGGAAGGUAUCCUGGCGUAGAGGCUGACAUUAUUUUAGUUUCAGCGCAUAACUAGGCAAACAUUUCGUGUGAUGGGACUCUCCAAACUCUGAAGGAGUGUCACUGAAGUGGGAAGACUGGGAAAACGAGAGGACUAGAGGAGAAAGAUGGAGCCCAUAUCUUUAGAUGGGGCUGCAACGGUGGAGGAGCUGGUGGAAGCGUGCAUCCAAGCCUUCGAUGAGAAGGGCACUUUGAAGGACCCCACCGUAGUGCGCAUGUUCCUCAUGAUGCACCCGUGGUACCUCCCGUCCACCGACAUGGCUAAGAAACUACUGCUCAAAUCGCAGGAGGAGAGCUGUUCUGCUGAACGCAGGACAAGAAUCUGCCACCUGGUGAAGUACUGGAUUUCGGAGUUCCCGGCAGAGUUCAAUCUGAACCCAGAACUGGCAGAGCAGAUUAAAGACCUCAAGGACCUAUUGACCACUGAGGGGAACGAGCGCCAGAGUCAGCUCAUUGACAUCGACAGUGUACCGUCGUACAAAUGGAAGCGUCAGGUGACCCAGCGGCAACCCUCUAUGUCCAAGAAGAGGAAGAUGUCUCUGCUGUUUGACCACCUGGACUCCUGUGAGCUGGCCACACACCUCACCUACCUGGAGUACAAGUCAUUCUGCAAGAUACUGUUCCAGGACUACCACAGCUUUGUGAUGCAUGGCUGCACGGUGGACAACCCCAUCCUGGAGCGCUUCAUCACCCUGUUCAACAGUGUGUCUCAGUGGAUCCAGCUGAUGGUGCUCAGCAAGCCCACCGCCCCCCAGAGGGCUGCUGUCAUCUCCCACUUCAUCAGGGUGGCGCAGAAACUGCUCCAGCUUCAGAACUUCAACACUCUGAUGGCGGUGGUGGGGGGGCUCAGUAACAGCUCUAUAUCUCGCCUCAAAGACACCCAGUCACACAUCAGCAACGAGACCAACAAGGUGUUCAACAGCCUGAUCGAGUUAGUGACGUCUUGUGGUAACUACAGCCAGUACCGCCGCCGCUUCUCCGAGUGCACAGGCUUCCGCUUCCCCAUCCUGGGCGUGCACCUCAAGGACCUGAUUGCCGUGCAUGUGGCACUGUCCGACUGGGCUGACCCGGGCAAGAGCAGGGUCAACCUGGCUAAGUGUCAACAGCUGUAUGCCAUCCUCCAGGAGCUGGCGCUGAUCCAGACCACACCACCCACCAUUGAUUCCAACACUGACCUGCUCAAUCUACUCACAGUGUCUCUGGACCAGUACCACACCGAGGAGGAGAUCUACCAGCUGUCUCUACAGAGAGAGCCACGCAGUGCUAAACCAGCAAACUCUGGCCCCGCCCCCGCCCCCAAGCCCUCUAUGAUUGACGAGUGGGCAGCGUCGGUGAAGCCCAAAGCAGACCCUGCGGUCAUCAACAAACACAUAGAGAAGAUGGUGGAUUCUGUCUUCAAGAACUUUGACACGGACGGAGAUGGUCACAUCUCCAGGGAGGAGUUUGAGAUCAUCAGGGACAACUUCCCCUACCUCAGCAAGUUUGGAGAACUGGACAAGAACCAAGAUGGGAAGAUCAGCAGAGAGGAGAUGAUUGACUAUUUCAUGAAGGCCAGCUCUCUGCUCAACUGUAAGAUGGGCUUCAUCCACACCUUCACAGAGACCACCUACGUCAAGCCCACCUUUUGUGAACACUGCACUGGCUUUGAAAAGACCCUUGAGGUUAGAAACCCUGGCAAGAGGUCAGCAGGAAGUAGUCACCGUGCACGUACAACCCGAGCAAAAAUACAACACAUUAAAGACCAAUUGCAAAGAUAUGGGGCUUCUACAAACAGGGAUACAAGUGUAAAGCUUGUGGAAUUAACUGUCACAAGGCGUGCCAAGGUCGUCUGGCGGUGGAGUGUCGUAAACGGACCAAGAGCAUUAGCCACGAGCACGCACCCUCUCUCCAGGCACGCUCAUACAGCUUCCCCCCUCCGGCCAACAGCCCACCCAGCCUACAGAACACAGUGAUUGUAGAGGAAGACCUAGAGGCUGUGGAGGAAGGAAUGUUUGAUAUCCAUCUAUAACCAGAAGUCUGCAUUCAGCCUAACACAGCUGGGAGGAAACAACAGAAGAUGUGAGCCAGAAGCAUAGCCUACUAUGGCGGCCUUAGUGCUGGAGUCUGUUCAGAAGGGUGCAAUCUGUCAUCUAGAACAGACACGAUUCCCUCUUCUAUAUGACAGACAAUCAUAUCUCCUCUACGUAAUGGAUUUCUGAGUCUGAACAUUGCAUGUAGAAAUGUAAUGAAUAGAGCAGACACGAUUCCCUCUUCUUUGACAGACAAUCAUGUCUGCUCUUUUCAUUCCAUUUCUAUAUGCAACGUUCAGACUGUCUC